UAUACCUAUUUUGGAAAACAGAGAGGGGCGUGAAGAAGAAAGUAGCAUUUAUCCAUAAAGCUGCCACCAGAGAGAACCACUGUUUGCACAUGCCGGCCUCACGUCUGCCAUUCAGUAAUGAGUACCCGGGUCACCCUUGUCUGUAUGUGCUGUGGGACACAGUGGGGAGAACCUCUGUUUAUACCAGAUAAAUUGUGUCAAAUUCCCUGAAAACUAGAAAUAAAAAUUAUCUCAAAGCCUACUUAUUGAAGUUCCUGUGGCUGGGGCCUUUACACCUUAACCAUGGGUUCUAUCCUCUGCCAGACCAAGCCCUGGGAAGACAUGGUCAAGGGGACAUUGCUGGAAUGGGACAGACACCUCCAAAAAACAGGAGGUACACUAACCAGGAAAUGAAGCGGUUUUACAGAAAGACUCCCCCUGUGCCAUUGGUGGCUACUCAGAAUUGAAACUACCUUCACGGGAUGCCUGGGUGACUCAGUGGGUUUAAGCAUCUGCCUUCAGCUCACGUCAUGAUUCCAA